rnacentral:rRNA from 1 species
GUGAGGAAUAUUGGUCAAUGGUCGGAAGACUGAACCAGCCAUGCCGCGUGCAGGAAGACGGUCCUAUGGAUUGUAAACUGCUUUUAUUCGGGGAUAAACCUCCUUACGUGUAGGGAGCUGAAGGUACCGAAAGAAUAAGCACCGGCUAACUCCGUGCCAGCAGCCGCGGUAAUACGGAGGGUGCAAGCGUUAUCCGGAAUCAUUGGGUUUAAAGGGUCCGCAGGCGGGAUUGUAAGUCAGUGGUGAAAUCCGGCAGCUCAACUGUCGCACUGCCAUUGAUACUGCAGUCCUUGAAUUCGAUUGGAGUGGGCGGAAUAUGUCAUGUAGCGGUGAAAUGCUUAGAUAUGAUGUAGAACACCGAUUGCGAAGGCAGCUCACUAAGCAAAUAUUGACGCUGAGGCACGAAAGCGUGGGGAUCAAACAGGAUUAGAAACCCUAGUAGUCC